rnacentral:rRNA from 1 species
UGGGGAAUUUUCCGCAAUGGGCGAAAGCCUGACGGAGCAACGCCGCGUGAGGGAUGAAGGCCUCUGGGCCGUAAACCUCUUUUAUCAAGGAAGAAGAUCUGACGGUACUUGAGGAAUAAGCCACGRCKRAUUCCGUG